rnacentral:lncRNA from 1 species
AAUAUAGAAAAAAUACCUACAAAAAACGAAAUAGAAAAGUUAAUUAAGACUAUUACGGAAAAGCAUAAAAUAUUAGAAAUACAAACAACUAAAUUAGUAGAAAAAAUAACUGAACAAGUAGAGGUAUUAAAAGAAGAGAUAAGCGCACUUAAAGAAAAGAUAGACACAAUAAAGGAAAUCGCUCUUUCAUGAGUGAUACACAAAUAGAAUUAUACCCGAUAUAUGAAGAAGUGUUAAAACUAAUAGCAAAAAUUCAACCCAAUCCGGAAGGACUAAGUAAUUAUACUCCUCAAAGUAAAGCUGAUC